UCACUCCUACGGGGGGCAACAGUGGGGAAUAUUGCACAAUGGGGGAAACCCUGAUGCAGCGACGCCGCGUGAGUGAAGAAGUAUUUCGGUAUGUAAAGCUCUGUCAGCAGGGAAGAAAAUGACGGUACCUGACCAAGAAGCCCCGGCUAACUACGUGCCAGCAGCCGCGGUAAUACGUAGGGGGCAAGCGUUAUCCGGAUUUACUGGGUGCAAAGGGAGCGUAGACGGCAGGGCAAGUCUGGAGUGAAAGGCGGGGGCUCAACCCCCGGACUGCUCUGGAACCUGCCAGGCU
rnacentral:rRNA from 1 species